CUCUCCCAAAUUGAUUUUAUGCUUGCAUAAAUGAUUUUUGGAUUCGGAGCGAGUGGCGAACUGGUGAGUAACACGUGGGUAACCUGCCCCGAAGCGGGGGAUAACAUUUGGAAACAAGUGCUAAUACCGCAUAAUUAGUUGGAACCGCAUGGUUCCAACUUGAAAGAUGGCUCUGCUAUCACUUUGGGAUGGACCCGCGCCGUAUUAGUUAGUUGGUGAGAUAAAAGCCCACCAAGACGAUGAUACGUAGCCGACCUGAGAGGGUAAUCGGCCACAUUGGGACUGAGACACGGCCCAGACUCCUACGGGAGGCAGCAGUAGGGAAUCUUCCACAAUGGACGAAAGUCUGAUGGAGCAACGCCGCGUGAGUGAUGAAGGUUUUCGGAUCGUAAAACUCUGUUGUUAAAGAAGAACAAGUGUUAGAGUAACUGUUAACACUUUGACGGUAUUUAACCAGAAAGCCACGGCUAACUACGUGCCAGCAGCCGCGGUAAUACGUAGGUGGCAAGCGUUGUCCGGAUUUAUUGGGCGUAAAGCGAGCGCAGGCGGUUUUGUAAGUCUGCUGUGAAAGCCCUCAGCUCAACUGAGGAAGUGCAGUGGAAACUACAAAACUUGAGUACAGAAGAGGAAAGUGGAACUCCAUGUGUAGCGGUGAAAUGCGUAGAUAUAUGGAAGAACACCAGUGGCGAAGGCGGCUUUCUGGUCUGUUACUGACGCUGAGGCUCGAAAGCAUGGGUAGCGAACAGGAUUAGAUACCCUGGUAGUCCAUGCCGUAAACGAUGAAUACUAGGUGUUGGAGGGUUUCCGCCCUUCAGUGCCGCAGCUAACGCAUUAAGUAUUCCGCCUGGGGAGUACGACCGCAAGGUUGAAACUCAAAGGAAUUGACGGGGGCCCGCACAAGUGGUGGAGCAUGUGGUUUAAUUCGAUGCUACGCGAAGAACCUUACCAGCUCUUGACAUCUUCUGCCAACCCAAGAGGAUUGGGCGUUCCCUUCGGGGACAGAAUGACAGGUGGUUGCAUGGUUGUCGUCAGCUCGUGUCGUGAGAUGUUGGGUUAAGUCCCGCAACGAGCGCAACCCUUAUUAUUAGUUGCCAGCAUUUAGUUGGGCACUCUAGUGAGACUGCCGGUGAUAAACCGGAGGAAGGUGGGGACGACGUCAAAUCAUCAUGCCCCUUAUGAGCUGGGCUACACACGUGCUACAAUGGAUGGUACAACGAGUCGCGAAACCGCGAGGUCAAGCUAAUCUCUUAAAGCCAUUCUCAGUUCGGAUUGCAGGCUGCAACUCGCCUGCAUGAAGUUGGAAUCACUAGUAAUCGUGGAUCAGCAUGCCACGGUGAAUACGUUCCCGGGCCUUGUACACACCGCCCGUCACACCAUGAGAGUUUGUAACACCCAAAGACGAUGGGGUAA
rnacentral:rRNA from 1 species